UACGUAGGGUGCAAGCGUUGUCCGGAAUUAUUGGGCGUAAAGAGCUCGUAGGCGGUUUGUCGCGUCUGCUGUGAAAACUCGGGGCUUAACCCCGGGCCUGCAGUGGGUACGGGCAGACUAGAGUGCGGUAGGGGAGACUGGAAUUCCUGGUGUAGCGGUGGAAUGCGCAGAUAUCAGGAAGAACACCCGUGGCGAAGGCGGCUCUCUGGAACGCAACUGACGCUGAGACGCGAAAGCGUGGGGAGCAAACAGG
rnacentral:rRNA from 1 species